rnacentral:rRNA from 1 species
UACGUAGGGUGCAAGCGUUGUCCGGAAUUAUUGGGCGUAAAGAGCUCGUAGGCGGCCUGUCACGUCGGAUGUGAAAGCCCGGGGCUUAACCCCGGGUCUGCAUUCGAUACGGGCGGGCUGGAGUGUGGCAGGGGAGACUGGAAUUCCUGGUGUAGCGGUGGAAUGCGCAGAUAUCAGGAGGAACACCGGUGGCGAAGGCGGGUCUCUGGGCCAUUACUGACGCUGAGGAGCGAAAGCGUGGGGAGCGAACAGG